rnacentral:rRNA from 1 species
CCAGCAGCCGCGGUAAUUCCAGCUCCAAUAGCGUAUAUUAAAGUUGUUGCAGUUAAAAAGCUCGUAGUUGAAUUUCUGGUCCGGGUGCCGGUCGGCCGUUGAGGCUCGCACUUGGUUUUUUAACCCGGAUCAUCCUUGCGGGGAAGUCGCCUGGCCUUCACUGGUUCGGGCGGUCGGACCCGCAUCGAUUACUGUGAACAAAUUAGAGUGUUUAAAGCAGGCGUUUGCUUGAAUACAUUAGCAUGGAAUAAUGAUAUAGGACUUUGGUGCUAUUUCGUUGGUUGCGUACCGAAGUAAUGAUUAAUAGGGAUAGUUGGGGGUAUUCAUAUUUGAUUGUCAGAGGU